UUAGCAAUUUCUCCAAGUUCUCUUCACUUUCUGCCACGAAGGUUGUGUCAUCUCCAUACCUUAGGUGGUUGGAGUCUUCCUGAAACCAUGAUGCCGUUUCUUCUUCAUGGAGUCCAGGUUCUCGCAUUAUUUAGUCCGCAUCCAGGAUGGAUUAACACAAGCAGCUGUUGAUUCCAGAAGAUAAUCCAGGACAAGAGUUCCAUUGAUUGAUAAAGCUAAGGGGACAAAAUGAACCAUGGCUUACCAACAAUGUGGAGUUCACUACUUUAGGCUUUGGGUAAGGACCCUGAAGAGCUACAUCCAAGGAGAAAGACUAAACCAGAAACAAAUCUGUUUGGAGCAUCUCAAUCUUUGCUUCUGACCAAAAAUCUACAAAGUCACCAUUCUGGCUAGUUUUGCAUAGGUGUAGAUAGGUAGUCCUGAUCCAGUGAAAGAACCUUUCAAUUUAUAUUUGUCAGGAAGCAGUGCCUUCAACUGUAGAUGCUCUUACUAAACUCUUUUGCAGAAUAGAAGAUAAAUUAAGUGGCUUGACACAAUGGAUGUAUGUACGGAUUGCGAUAAGUUGUACAAGCCCCCAAUAAAAUGAUUUAAAAAAUUAA